ACAAGGGGCAGCAAACUCGCGAGGGCAAGCAAAUCCCAUAAACCGUGGCUCAGUUCAGAUCGUAGGCUGCAACUCGCCUACGUGAAGCAGGAAUCGCUAGUAAUCGCAGGUCAGCAUACUGCGGUGAAUACGUUCCCGGGCCUUGUACACACCGCCCGUCACACCAUGGAAGUUGGCCACGCCCGAAGUCGUUACUCCAACCCUUGUGGAGGAGGACGCCGAAGGUGGGGCUGAUGACUGGGGUGAAGUCGUAACAAGGUAGCCGUACCGGAAGGUGCGGCUGGAUCACCUCCUAAC
rnacentral:rRNA from 1 species